AACGCACCUUGCGCUCCUUGGUAUUCCGAGGAGCAUGCCUGUUUGAGUGUCAUUAAAUUCUCAACCUUACUAGCUUUUGCGAGCUUGGUAAUGGCUUGGAUGUGGGGGUCUUUUUGCUGGCUUCGUCAAGAGGUCGGCUCCCCUUAAAUGCAUUAGCCGGUGCCCCGCGUGGAUCGUCUAUUGGUGUGAUAAUUAUCUACGCCGUGGAUGUCUGCUUUUAAUGGGUUUGCGCUGCUUCUAACCGUCUAUUAAGUUGGACAAAUCAAUGACAAUUUGACCUCAAAUCAGGUAGGACUACCCGCUGAACUUAA
rnacentral:rRNA from 1 species